GGGUUGUGAGGUUAAGCGACUAAGCGUACACGGUGGAUGCCCUGGCAGUCAGAGGCGAUGAAGGACGUGCUAAUCUGCGAUAAGCGUCGGUAAGGUGAUAUGAACCGUUAUAACCGGCGAUUUCCGAAUGGGGAAACCCAGUGUGAUUCGUCACACUAUCAUUAACU
rnacentral:rRNA from 1 species